rfam:Erinaceus europaeus unplaced genomic scaffold scaffold00034, whole genome shotgun sequence
ACAAAGGGCUUCUGUCAUGACACAUAGGGCAGCUCAUUCGCUCUACAUGUGGAAUCAACAUAAGAGAUUUCGGAAGCAUAAUUUUUGUUGUUUGGGCAGCUGGUGACCAUUGGUCCUGGUGCCCUA